rnacentral:rRNA from 1 species
GACGAACGCUGGCGGCGUGCCUAACACAUGCAAGUCGAACGAGAAUCUUUGAACAGAUCUUUUCGGAGUGACGUUUAAAGAGGAAAGUGGCGGACGGGCGAGUAACGCGUGAGUAACCUGCCCAUAAGAGGGGGAUAAUCCAUGGAAACGUGGACUAACACCGCAUACUGUAGUUAAGUUGCAUGACUUGAUUAUGAAAGAUUUAUCGCUUAUGGAUGGACUCGCGUCAGAUUAGAUAGUUGGUGAGGUAACGGCUCACCAAGUCAACGAUCUGUAGCCGAACUGAGAGGUUGAUCGGCCGCAUUGGGACUGAGACACGGCCCAGACUCCUACGGGAGGCAGCAGUGGGGAAUAUUGCGCAAUGGGGGCAACCCUGACGCAGCAACGCCGCGUGCAGGAAGAAGGUCUUCGGAUUGUAAACUGUUGUCGCAAGGGAAGAAGACAGUGACGGUACCUUGUGAGAAAGUCACGGCUAACUACGUGCCAGCAGCCGCGGUAAUACGUAGGUGACAAGCGUUGUCCGGAUUUACUGGGUGUAAAGGGCGCGUAGGCGGACUGUCAAGUCAGUCGUGAAAUACCGGGGCUUAACCCCGGGGCUGCGAUUGAAACUGACAGCCUUGAGUAUCGGAGAGGAAAGCGGAAUUCCUAGUGUAGCGGUGAAAUGCGUAGAUAUUAGGAGGAACACCAGUGGCGAA